rnacentral:rRNA from 1 species
AACGAACGCUGGCGGCAGGCUUAACGCAUGCAAGUCGAGCGCCCCGCAAGGGGAGCGGCAGACGGGUGAGUAACGCGUGGGAACGUACCCUUUGCUACGGAAUAGCUCCGGGAAACUGGAAUUAAUACCGUAUGUGCCCUACGGGGGAAAGAUUUAUCGGCAAAGGAUCGGCCCGCGUUGGAUUAGCUAGUUGGUGGGGUAAUGGCCUACCAAGGCGACGAUCCAUAGCUGGUCUGAGAGGAUGAUCAGCCACAUUGGGACUGAGACACGGCCCAAACUCCUACGGGAGGCAGCAGUGGGGAAUCUUGCGCAAUGGGCGAAAGCCUGACGCAGCCAUGCCGCGUGAAUGAUGAAGGUCUUAGGAUUGUAAAAUUCUUUCACCGGGGACGAUAAUGACGGUACCCGGAGAAGAAGCCCCGGCUAACUUCGUGCCAGCAGCCGCCGUAACAC